rnacentral:snRNA from 1 species
AUCGCUUCUCGGCCUUUUAUGGCUAAGAUCAAGUGUAGUAUCUGUUCUUAUCAGUUUGAUAUCUGAUAUAUCCUCUAUCUGAGGAUUAUAUAUUAAAUGGAUUUUUGGAAUAGGGAGAUGGAAUAGGAGCUUGCUUCAUUCACUCCAUGCAUCAACCUGGUAUUGCAGUAUCUCUAGGAAUGGUGCAUCUCCC